rnacentral:tRNA from 1 species
GGGGGUGUAGCUCAGUGGUAAAGUGUGUGCUUAGCAUGCACAGGACCCUGGGUUCAAUCCCCAGCAUCCCCC